CAAGUCUAUCGGGAAAUCCGCGCGCUUAACGCGCGGGCGUCCGGUGGAAACUGCGUGGCUUGGGACCGGAAGACCAGAGGGGUACGUCCGGGGUAGGAGUGAAAUCCCGUAAUCCUGGACGGACCACCGGUGGCGAAAGCGCCUCUGGAAGACGGAUCCGACGGUGAGGGACGAAAGCUCGGGUCACGAACCGGAUUAGAUACCCGGGUAGUCCGAGCUGUAAACGAUGUCUGCUAGGUGUGGCACAGGCUACGAGCCUGUGCUGUGCCGUAGGGAAGCCGUGAAGCAGACCGCCUGGGAAGUACGUCCGCAAGGAUGAAACUUAAAGGAAUUGGCGGGGGAGCACUACAACCGGAGGAGCCUGCGGUUUAAUUGGACUCAACGCCGGACAUCUCACCAGCAUCGACAAUGUGCAGUGAAAGUCAGGUUGAUGACCUUACUGGAGCCAUUGAGAGGAGGUGCAUGGCCGCCGUCAGCUCGUACCGUGAGGCGUCCUGUUAAGUCAGGCAACGAGCGAGACCCGCACUCCUAAUUGCCAGCAACACCCUCGUGGUGGUUGGGUACAUUAGGAGGACUGCCAGUGCCAAACUGGAGGAAGGAACGGGCAACGGUAGGUCAGUAUGCCCCGAAUGUGCUGGGCGACACGCGGGCUACAAUGGC
rnacentral:rRNA from 1 species